AGUCAUCCUUUUCUUGCAUUAUGAUUGGUCCAUAUCCAAUGAUGUAAUCUAAAUCUUUCUGCUAAGAGUAAUGUGUUACUCAUGAAUCUCACAUACUCUAGACCAUUGCUGGCCGCCUUUUUUCCUCCUUUUUUUUUUUUGAUCGGUGACCGCCGCUGAUUUGUUACUGUAACCUUCAUUAGAUUUUGGUUUGACACAAAAACUAAGCUAAAUGUGCAUCUACUUUUUACAUUUUUUCUCUUGUGAAACUAUUUAAUAAUUGCUUGCAAUUAAUUCCUAAUACUGUUUUUGAACUUUUUUGGUUAGCAUAUUUCGAGUUUCAAAUGGAUGAUUGAAUUCUUAAGCCGAUUGUCAGAAGCACUAUUCUCAAGAUUUGUAUAAGCUAGAACUUGUUAGAGAGUAAACUAAUCUAAGUUUACAAUAUAUAA
rnacentral:lncRNA from 1 species